AUAAGACCUAUGAUUAGAAUGUUGCAACCUACCACCCUAUACCAAGCAUUUGAAAGUGCUAGACUGCAUGAACAGCUAGUAGAAAAUACCAGAAAAUCUAGACCUUUCACUAAAUCCGAUAACUUUAAUCCUGUGACCUAUAGAUCCACAUCAACCUACCAAAAUUACAAUAAUUCCUAAAGACCCACCACAGCCAAUCAAAGCUUCAUUUAUCCACCAAA
rnacentral:misc_RNA from 1 species